AGCAGCCGCGGUAAUUCCAGCUCCAAUAGCGUAUAUUAAAGUUGUUGCAGUUAAAAAGCUCGUAGUUGAAUUUCGGGAUCAAUAUGUUGGUCGUGCCUCGGUACGUACUAGCUUAUUGGUUUCUCCUUUCUGAAGAACCAUGAUGUCAUUCAUUUGGUGUCGUGGGGAAUCAGGACUGUUACUUUGAAAAAAUUAGAGUGUUUAAAGCAGGCUCACGCUUGAAUACAUUAGCAUGGAAUAAUGAAAUAGGACGUUUGAUUCUAUUUUGUUGGUUUCUAGGAUCGACGUAAUGAUUAAUAGGGAUAGUUGGGGGCAUUAGUAUUCAAUUGUCAGAGGUGAAAUUCUUGGAUUUAUUGAAGACUAACUACUGCGAAAGCAUUUGCCAAGGAUGUUUUCAUUAAUCAAGAACGAAAGUUAGGGGAUCGAAGACGAUCAGAUACCGUCGUAGUCUUAACCAUAAACUAUGCCGACUAGGGAUCGGAUGAUGUUAAUUUUUUAAUGACUC
rnacentral:rRNA from 1 species